GCUUGUCGGGCGACCGGGACACUUUAACGAAGCAGUCGUUGAAAGACAACGAGUGCCUGAUGGAGUUCUGCCACCUCUGCUGGUUCUGACGGUAGUAGGGGAACAGGUCCAUUAUCCACUGAUAAAUCUCACUUAAGAUUUUCACUGGCAGUUCUGGCAGCACGCGCUCGGCUACAACCGGUUGCUAGGAGACGCUGCGUUUCAGUUUCCGAGGAUUACCAAUAUAUGAAGCACCUUUAUGAAACCAAUCAGAAGAGAAGAAGGCUUCUUUCUUACCUUGCCAGGGGCCAACUCAAAGAGACACCUCAGCACCACAAGAGAAAUGUUCCCCAAGACCAAUGUGCCGUCCACCUGUGUC